AUGUUAUCCUAUUCUUUUACCCAUAAACUAAUUCUUGGGGAUUCCAUAUUUUUGCAGCUGUUUGUGCUUCUUUAUUUGUUAAAUACUCACUGCUUGAAUUUUCUUCAUAUAUAUCCUCCUGUCAGAUUCUCUUUCUUAGGAUUUGAACAACAACAAAAAAGGAAAAAAAGCAAGAGGAAAAAAAUGUCUAAAUAUCUGUUUUUGCUUCCUACAUCUCACCCACACAAAACAUUAACUUCAUACCAAGCUCCCACUGGAUCGGUGUCCAGGGACUUCAGGCAGCCCUACAGCAGGUCAGGAAGGAACCAAGGAAAGCUAGCCAUUUCUACACUAGCUCUGGCUGCAUGUCAGCCCUCUAGCCUUAGCCCCAUGCUUCAUGCUUUCAGGGUUUUUUGUGGGCUGGUGUUUUGGUUUUUGUUGUUUUUUUGGGUUUUUUGGUUGGUUAGUUUUUGAGUUUUUUUAGUUUUUGAUAGAAUUAUUUGUCACAGUUGUAUUCCAAAGGUGCCAAGAACGGGAUUUUUUUUUUCUGAUUUGCAUUCUUCUCCUAUUUUUGGUAUUAUGUAUUUUUUAAGUGCAAAAGCCAUUACCUUAACUGGCUACAUGAAUUGGUAAAUUCAUGUUUUGACCCUCCUUAUCACACCUGCUAGAGAUAACCUAAGCCACAGCACAGCUCCUACCGGUUUGGCUGCAGGCAGGGUUAUGACCUUCAGGGUGGUGAAGGAAUGCAGCUUUUAUUGUAUGAUCACCUUGUUAUGAAAUAGAACCUUUAAGAAGCAAGGUGGGUGGGGCACCUGAGUGGCUCAGAGGUUAAGCAUCUGCCUUUGGCUCAGGUCGUGAUCCUAGGGUCCUGGGAUCAAGUCCUGCACUGGGCUCCCUGUAGGGAGCCUGCUUCUCCCUCUGCCUGUGUCUCUGCCUCUCUCUGUGUCUCUCAUGAGUAAAUGAAUAAAAAAUCCUAAAAAAAAAAAAAAAUCUUGUCAGCUAACAAGGAGCUUACAUUCCAUGCACCAUUCUGAUCACCUAAGAGAAAAGAGGGCAAUUUUACUACCUAAAAAUCACUUGCCAAAGUCUCAGUGACAAUCAGAAGAAAAAAAAAAAAAUACAGAAAAACCCUCUGUGCUUAGUCUUAUCAGAAGGUAAGAGAGAUUUCAAAGCUGCAUUAAUGAAAACAAUUUGAUUCUGGCACAUAAACAAGCAGACAGAUCAAUGAGCCAAAAUGAAGAGUCCCAAAAGAUACUGGAAAACAGAAUAAUUUAAUGUGUAAAAAAGGGCAAUCAUUAAGGGAUAAUGGAUUAUUCUACAAAUAUUAUUGGAAAAGCCGGCCAACCAUUAAGGGAAGAAUUAAACUGAAUCUUCUUUAUGUCCUUAUACUAAAUGCCCUCAUACUUACGUGUUUAAAAAAGAGAAAAGUCAUGAAAGUACCAGAAAAGAACAUGAGAUCAUUUUUAAUGAAAUCUUGGAAGAGGAGAAAGUCUUCCUAAUUAAGACAAAACUAAGAAGCCACAAAUAAAAAUACCGAUGAGGUUGACUAUAUAAAUAUUUAACGUUUCGUCCAUACCAAAAAUGAUGUCAGAAUACAAAUGAAAAGAUGGGGAAAAUAUUUGGAAUACAAGUUAUGGAUAAAGGACAAAUAUAUAAAGGGCUUACCAUGAAAACAGGACUCAGGAACCACAAGCCAAAGGCCAACAACUCAAGUUUUUUAAUGAGCAAAACAUAUAAACAAGAAGUUGACACACACGAAAGGGAAGCUAAAUGGCGAAUAAACAAAUGCAAAGAAAACAAAAAAAGCAAAUUCAGAUCUAUAAAAUUUGUUUAAAAAAUUUGUGUUGUUACCAAUUAGGUUGACAAAGAUCAAAACUUUGAUAAUAUGCAGUGUUGCAGAAGAUGUGCAGAAGCCAACAUUGGCCUAGGCUAUGGAAAGAAGUGUAGACAGGUGUGACCUUUUCCAAAUAUCUGUCCAAGUAAGAAUGCACAGACACGGCAGCUGCACUUCCAGGAACUCAUCGUGCAGAUGUCCUCACGCAUGUGAGCAGAGACAGGGCAUCUACAGCUUUGUCGGCCCUAGCUAGAACCUGGAGCCCCCCUACACACUCACCGAGAGGUUAAAUUGGUUAAAUGCUGCUUACAUGCAUUGUGAGCAUUCACACAGAAGUAUACUCAGCAGCUGGGUAAACAGAUGCAGUGGUUAUGUGUUCUAAGAGAAAUAACCUCCAAGGUCGCUAACUGGAAAAAACAAGGAGCGGAACAACACGUAUGCUGUAUGACGUGUCCACGUGUGCAUUUGGGUACACACUUGUUUGUUUGUUCAACAAAGCUUUACUGAGCAGCUGCCACAUGUGAGCAGCUUUUCUUUUUUUUUUUUUUUUUUUUUUUAUGAUAGUCACAGAGAGAGAGAGAGAGAGAGAGAGGGGCAGAGACACAGGCAGAGGGAGAAGCAGGCUCCAUGCACCGGGAGCCCGACGUGGGACUCGAUCCCGGGUCUCCAGGAUCCACCCUGGGCCAAAGGCAGGCGCCAAACCGCUGCGCCACCCAGGGAUCCCCGUGAGCAGCUUUUCUAAGCAGUGAACAAAAUAGACGAAAUUUUCUCAUAUCAGCCUUUAUGGAGC
rnacentral:lncRNA from 1 species